rnacentral:rRNA from 1 species
UACGGAGGGUGCAAGCGUUAUCCGGAUUUAUUGGGUUUAAAGGGUGCGUAGGCGGAAUAUUAAGUCAGUGGUGAAAGCCUGUGGCUCAACCAUAGAAUUGCCAUUGAUACUGAUAUUCUUGAGUAUGAUUGAAGUUGGCGGAAUAUGGCAUGUAGCGGUGAAAUGCAUAGAUAUGCCAUAGAACACCGAUAGCGAAGGCAGCUAACUAAGUCAUAACUGACGCUGAGGCACGAAAGCGUGGGGAUCAAACAGG